rnacentral:lncRNA from 1 species
GAACUUUUCAAUAAUUAUCACCAAGAGAAGAUCUAGACUUUCAUUUCUCUUGCUGCUCUGGAGGAGGGGGGAGAUGAUGGGGGAGGGAAAGGGACCGAGGGGCAGAUGGUAAGGGAGACCAGGAAUGGGCAAAGGGAGCCACGGCCCAUGGGUGCACUGGAGGGACUCCUUUGUGCCUGAAGGCUGUGAGGAGAGGAGAGGGGCAAGGGCGAGGGAGAGAAAGCAGCUGGAAACCCUAUGAGUCACGGAGACAUGGUUGCUCCCUCAAGGCCUGAGCAUGGAAGUGUACAGAGUCACAGCAUAGCUUUUGACCUCCUGUGAGCACAGCCCUCUUGCAGCAUGGGUGAGGAAUAGUGGCUUUGUGUCAUGUGUCUUGGGAACCCUGGUGUCUCAUCUUGUAGGGUCCUGCAUGGGUUCCUGAGAUAGACUCUGGUCCUGACAGGAGGCCAGAACUGACCGGCACCUGUAUGUGGUACCCACACCUAAGAGACUGAUGCUGAGGAAAUGUAUUGCCAUCCUUCCCUGCCUUCCCACCAGCACCCAGAUGCUGGCCCAAGGAAGAGGGUGACCCCAGAGUCAUCAGUGACAAGGGAAUCUCCAGAGAGAAUCCUCUACCCUUGGACUUGGUGUAAGCAUUCACAGGCCUGGACGUGGGAGGGGGCGUGUGAGCAUGUUGUAUGUGUAAGCUUGAGGACUGUGCACAUAUAUAUGCGAUCUGUGUUCAGGCAUACGCGUGCAAGCACAAGUCAUCUAUGUGCCUAUGCACAUGGAUGUGCCUAUGUGAACCCGCUUGUACUAACUUCUGCUCAGCCUUGCCCGGCAGAUGGACCCUAGGGAGAUGGUAUACAUCGGGGCACUUGCUUGCAGUCAAGCUUGAAAUCUGGCUCUAUAUCCUGUGUGCAUCUUGUGACGCUGGGCAGGCACUGAUCCUUUCCCAUGAGCUCUGAUGUCCUCAGGUGUUUGACAAGAGCCAAGCAUCCGACAGCCACAGAGAAGUCAUUUGCACAUAGCAAGCAACUGUUCCCUGCCACAAGUGAAAAAGUAUGCUCUUGGCUCUGCUCCUUCCUUGAAGAUGGAAGCUCGAACUCCAGAAGUCGGUCUGCAUGCCCCAAGCCUCACACUUCCUCUCUUGUCAUCCCUGGAACAGUCCCCAUUUGUCCCACUUGCUGCUUGGGUCCUCUUUUCUGCAGCCCAUCUACACGACAGUGGCCACAGUGGAACUUAGCAUAAUGCCUAACUUAAAGCCACCUGUCACUCCCCACUGACAUUCAGUUCACACCCACCGUCCUGUGAUAGCACUCUGGGCCCUAUCCCUCAUCCCUAGUGUUUGUGAGGUGCUCCUGGCUCCAGCUCUGGAGACCCCCAGCCCUUCCACACAUCCUCCUUCCCAGCCCUCCUCUUCAUGACUCAUGAGCCUGCUUGGUGCCUUCUAGGGGGGGCUUGCGGGCUUGCUCCAGGUGGGCUGAGGCUGUCCAAACUCAUGCCACACAGGCGUCCCAGAAGACAUCACUAGCCUGUUUCCUCUGACCUUCCCUCUCCCGCCCUCCCUUUUAUUCCAGGCUCAUAGCUUUUCCAGGGCAGAGUGUUUUUUCUCAUCCCUAGAUCCUAAACCACUGUUGAUGUUUAAGGGCAUUCUGUUAAAUACUGAACAAAUUCCAAAGCAGACACACAAGUCAUCUGUGUUUCUAUGCAAGCAGAUGUUCCUUUGUGGACCUGCACAUACUAACUUCUGCUCAGCCCUGCCCAGCAAAUGCACCCAUUUCUGGGAUUGUGGCAUCUGAAGACCCUCAUAUUCAUAUUCUAGUUGCCCAUUGUGCCCAACAGAAAGUAAUCAGGGGUUGGGAAGAGUGGCCGUCUCUAAACCCAAAGCCACGUCUCUAAAUACUGCUGACACUACCCAGGUGCCCGUGCAGGUCUGUGAGAGCCUGGGCACCUCCCUCAAACAAGGUGCUAGCUUUAGGCACCCAUGGACUAUUGACGGGCUCAUUCCCCCUGCAAGAGACCCCCAAUUGCACCCAACCACAUAGCAUUGGAACAGGCCUGGGGCAGGGCAUGGAAAAGGCUCCAGCAGGCCCAGGGUAUUGGAGGAAUCCUGUCACAGACAGAAGGACAGAAAGUUAUGGAAGUAUAUGGUGGGACUGCUUCUGGCCACGAUUAGAAUAACAGACGUCAGAAUCUCAUGACUGCCAAAGACAGCUGCUUAGCUGCACUUCUGCACAAGUUAGUUUGGAUGUAGAAUGGCUCCCGAAAGACUUGGAUCCUUGAGAGGUGCCAGGACCCUGAGGGUUCUGACUUACUCAGAACCUAGAUCCACAGAACAAUAUGUGCUAUGCUGGCACUACUGGGAAGUGGGACCUAGUGGGAGUGGGAGCUCACUGGGGGAAUGCUCUUAGGGGCUAGCUUGCCCUAGGCUCUGUCUGGAGAAGGUUCUCAGGCCCCUGCUGAGUGCUGUGGAGGCCAGGACGGCACAUUGUCUUAAUGGAUUCAGGAAGAAGAGGUUGGCGUUCAAGGGUCCCGAGGUGUAUGCAAUUAGCAGAGUAUAGAGAGAAGGAAGCUAUACAAAUGAGAGGCCAGAGCAGUACACAGGAGUGCCCUGGAACCACAAUGUGACUCACAAUGUGGCUCGAGUAAAGAUGCACAGGCCCUGUGAGAACUGUCACCAGAAGGCAAUGUGGCACUCCUGACGGUGUUCAGCUCUGGCAGACAGAGUGCAAAUGCUGGCUGAAGAGCCUGGAAAGGCAAGUCUUGAGAACAGCGUGGUGGCGGUCCUAGCACAAGGUGUGCCAUGUAACAACCCCUCUUUGUGAACAGCUUUUCCAGGUAAGGCUUCAUGGCUGAAACAAACAUCACCCUAUUCAGAGCAAAGAUCUCAGAGGACAGGCCCAGAGGUGACCCAGGUGUGGGAAUUGGAAGGGAAAGAUUUGGAAGAAGAGGAGGCCAUCCUGGGAUAUGGGGGACCCUGUCUUAAAGACAGAACAACAAAGGUCCUACCACUUGUGGGAGAAUAUGAAGCCACGUCACAUGUAUGUAAUUGGGAUGUGCAAGGAGAAGACAGAGAUUCAGAGCAGAUGAAAAAUUUUAUUCUACAACAUCAAUGAAGGUCACGUGGCAUUAAAAACUAAGAAGCAGGUAUAUCAUAGGCAAACUACUGAAGCCAAGGCUAAAGAGACUACCCCAGAAGCAGGUAGAGACAGACAGAUACAUCAGAGACACACAGACACACAGGGGCACCUGGUAAGGAAUAUUGGUGACUUCCAAUAAGAAGCAAUGCAAGACAGAAGGCAGGAGGAGAGUGUCUUUGAAAUGUCAAAACAAACAUAUAAACAAAGAAAAUGGAAACACCCUUCAAGAAUUAAGCUGAAACAAAGCAUUUCUUGGUAAACAAAGUCUGAGACACUCCAUCACAGCAGACACGUGUGUGUGUGUGUGUGUGUGUGUGUGUGUGUGUGUGUGUAUGGUGGAGAAGUCCUUCAAAAGAGAAGAUGGUCUGGAGAGCCUCAGGCUUACUGAGAGAGGAAGCCAUGGGAAGUUGGAAUGUGGUAACACAAAGCCCUCUUUCAGUUCCAACCUUCUUUAGAUGCCAAUGAGACAGACAUAAUAGUGUCCGGUGGGAAGUAUGGCAUCUGCAGAAGAGGCAUGUGCGCUUUCAACAGGGGACAGGAGGGUAGAGGCACUACAAUAGCAUCUCCUUCUAGAGCAUGAGGUCAUAUCUAGAGAUGGGGUGUGAGUCCAGAAUCAAGAUAUCAUUAUCCUUAGAGCAGCUGCCAAAAAUAAAAGAAGCUAAGAGGAAUAAACCAAAUGUUAAAGAAUAAUCAAAUCAUUCAAGUAGGCAAGAAGGAAAAUAUGAAACAAAAUUCAAUUUUGUAUAUAAAACCAACAGCGUGAUAGUUUAAGCUUAUCCGUGUUAACAGUUAAAUUAAAUAUAAAUGGGUUAAUAUCUGAGCAGAAGUCGAAGGGCCAGCGUGUCUGGUUCAACCUUCCUACCAUGUUAGAAGCCCCGGGUUGGUUGAAUUCCCAGUACCACGAGAAAGGAAAAGAAACAAAAGGAAGGCCAGUCAGAUGCCUCAGUGAGAAACGGUGCUUGCCGCCAAACCUGACAACCUAAGUGUGAUUCCCCAAACUCACAUGGUGGAAGGAGAGACGUGGCCCCUGAAAGCUGUCCUCUGACCUCCACACACAUGCUAUGAAUUUGAGCAUACAUGCGUGUGAAUACACACACACACACACACCACUUUUCAAAAAUUGGGAGGAAAUGAGGGACGGUUACACUAGGAGUAGACAGAGUAGCCUGCAGACGAGAAAUCCUAAUAGAGUUGGAGAGGAACACACCAGUUAUGAACUCAGAAGAAGAGCCAUGGGGCCUGCUCUUAAGAAGUUCAAAACACAUGACACAAAUCCAAAGGGAAACAGAGAAACUCAUAGCCACCGUUGGGAGUCCCAACAUCCCCGUCAAAUAUAGAACCAGAAAAACCAGGAGGUUGGGGAGAGUAGGGAGAAGACAGGAGCUUCAACCACCAUGACCUCAUUGAUAGUGAUAGGACCCUUCAUCCAGCAGCGACAGGAUACACAAGAUUUCCCCCAAAGGCAAACAGAAGAAAGGUGCAGUGACAUUUUGACUUUAUCUCAAUACAUUUAGCGCUGAAGGAGGUUGGGUAAUUUUGUCACCGUCAGAGAUUGAGGUCGCUUUUGAGGUUUCCACGGCUAACAGAGCUCCAUCCACCAAAGCUCCCCAGUCUCCUACCAAAACACAACAUAAAACGAAACUGUGAAAAUCUGAACGUACAGCUAAUAAGUCCCUCCUCUUUCCCAUGUUGCUUUAAGUUCCAGGAACCCGGAACAGGACCCUGGACUCGACAGAGUGCAGUAAUCUAUGGCGUAGACAAUCUGCUGUUUCUACAACUGAUAUUUUGUCUUGUGACAUUUCUCAAGCUUGCAUUGGAAGCAGGAUGGCCCUGCAAAGGAUAAUAUCUUCGGUGAGGUCGGAGGAGAGACAGCAAGCACAGUCACUCGGAGUUUUGAUGUGAAGUUGACACAGGCUGAGAAAGAAGAGCCAAGAAGCCACGUCGCCUGGAGUAAACCCAGCUCUUAUCUGCCAGACCCAAGGGGGGAAUCUCAGAUUCCCCAGCUCCUGCCCAGCUCCUGCCCAGCUCCUGCCCAGCUCCUGCCCAGCUCCUGCCCAGCUCCUGCCCAGCUCCUGUGGGGCUAAAGUUCACUUAGAGCUGCAGGCCACAAGCCCAGGCCAUCCCAAGCAGGCCUCAUGACAAUGUAUAUGUUUCUGAGAAAUCCUCUUUUGGGGAGAGCAGGACUUAGCCUGCAUAGACUAGGGAUCCCCUGAUAGGCAAGGAAACAGCAGCCAGUCACUUGUAGGUUAGGUCCCAGGAGCGUCCAGUCCCCAUGCUGGCCCUGCUCAAGUUCCAGGAAGGGACUUUCACCCAGAAAUAGCUAAGGACUAUGACAACCUUCCCAACACACUUGUUUAUGAUUUGACUUAAUUAUUUUUCUAUUUAUCUCUAUUUCUGAAUCUCUCCCUUUGGGUUUCCUGAGCUGGAUGCCCUCUCCUUUUUGGGCAGGAUGCAUGGCCACCAUGGCUGCAGAUGCAUCGUAAGGAACCCUCAGAGGUGGUGGGAUUCUGCAACUGGGGGAGCCUGGAGCCUGGGGGUGCUCCACCAGCUCAGCCACACAUGUGGUUGUUCCACCCACUCAGCCCCCACCUUGUUCCAACCGGAGCCUGACGUCUCCCCAACCACAUCUGACCAUGUCACUCCUCCAAGACCUCACCCAGAUCCCUACCACCACCUGGCCCUCUGACAAAAGGGGAUGGGCUGGCAUUGUCCAUCUAGCCUAGGCUACAUUUCUCAGUCUUCUUCCCCCGGGUUUCCAGCCUGGACCAUGUGGGAAAGUCCCAUGGAGCCGGAAGAAGAUGUUCUUCUAUAGUCCCUGCCUCUGUACUGCUGCAUUCCACUUUGGUGACUUUUUGGCUUCUCGGAGUCAGGCUACCAUCCUUAUGAGGUCACGGGCACAACUAUGAAGUACCUCCCACCUGUGCUUCGGGGCCAGCCCUCCCUCAUAGAUGCCUCUCUCAUGCACUGCGACUCCAUCACUGACCACACAGCAGGAUCUGGAUGCCCAGACCUACUGUGCGCAGUGCCUGCCACACACCCAUGACAGUGUUGCAGUUGGGUAUGAAGUGUCCUCGAGAAGGGCCCUGUGUUGUAGGCUUGCCUUCCAACCCAGCAGCAUUCAGAGAUGGAGCCUCUGGGAGGUGACCUGUCACCAAGGCUGAUGCAGAAUCAGGAAGCAGUGGGAAGCAGGAAGUGGGAAGCAGGAAGUUGGAAGCAGGAAGUGGGACGUGGAUGGAGGAAGUAUGGAACUGGAAGCACGGCUUUCCCCCUGCUGGCUCCUCUCGUCUCCCUCUGCCUCUUGCACCCUGAGAAAUAAGCACCUUUUCUCUGCCUCACAGUCCUGGCAGGAUUCUCUGUCAGACUCCUCGUGCCCACAGACCGCAGACCAGAGCCUCAAAAACCAUGAGCCAAA